CGCCGCGGGCGCCGGCGCGAAACGUUCGUUCGCGAGACUACCUCCGCGUGGUGGGCUCGUGACGUCAGCUAACCUCAGUGUGCGGAGAGCGACCGCAGUGUACACCAUCUCCACGUUUUGGCAAAGAAGAAGGCAGUUAUCGUUGCUGAGUGAACGAGUUUUGACCACGUCGUACCGAUCAGCUGGACAGUGAGUGUUAUUUAUUAUCGGCCACCUCUUCCCCUGCCUUCUCGUUCCACCGGAUUUUUAUUCGUCGGUGAAUAGACUCGGCGGAUGAAACGACGCGCAUACGUCGGGCGCACAAACGUAGCAUUUCGAGACGUGGCCAGUGAUAAUUGCGAACGCGCCGGAUACGCGAUUUUAUCCUUUGAUGGCAAGUUUUUCCUCCAUGAGGUGGAGCGAGGUGGAGGCGGAGUUUUGUUCGUAACGCGUGAGUGACGAAUCGAAAACGGGUCGCGUUACACCUUGACAGACCAAGGUGACCAAUCUUCCUUCUUGAUGAAUACGACGACGUCGAAAAGGAGCACGAUCGGUGGCCACGCGGUUGACGCUCUCACCGCCGGUUGUAUCUCCGAAGGAGUUGACACCUAGCACGAGGAGCGUCUACUGCGCAGCUAGCGAGAGAAACGAUUCCGAAGGGAUCAUCCUCAUCCUUCGUACAGUGGUGAUACAGUGGUGUUGUUGUUGUUAUUUGUUGUUGUUGUAUCGAUAUUUGGUGAUACACGUGCCCCGGUGAUAUAUAUAUACGAGUCGAACUGACUACACUGGUUCGUGUUCGCAUAAUUUCAAAUUCUCUUCCCUCGAAAGCGUGGAAAUAACGAGUCGCCUCUCCUUCCGCUCCUUUAUCAAGUGUUCUUUUCCACUGUGUUUUACCAUCGAGCCGCGGAAGGCGCGCGUGUCAAACGACAUAACGGAUACCGCGGCCUAGCCUAGAAUUCGGCAAAACAGUUUCAGCGGAUUUGAUUUCGCGGAGGUCCGCGUGAAAUCGACGACACGUGGAUUCGGAUUCCAAUUCGUUCCUCACGUGGUCGUGUCCAACUGCUCUUAGUGGCGCUUUUCCGCGACUGUAACGCGCGACUGUUGCUCGCGAUCAAUUUGAAAGUUGUCGGGUUAUCCUUGUGCGCUCGUUGAAUUUUUCCGUAUCGAUGUUCCGUAUCGACGUUGCAACAUGGGACGUGAUCGAUGAGUGUUCGACCGAUGAGUGAAUAGGGAAUGAAAGGUUAGGGAAAAAAAGAAAAAAGAAAUAGAGAGACUCUCCGUCAAACGAUUCUUCCGUCCUGUUGUCGAGAAUCGAAACGCGUGUGGUGUGUGUCACUUUCAUGUUGCGAAUAGAAGGAGAGGGAUGACGGUGCAUCGUCGUUGCGCUGCAGACACCGUCGAAGAGGAGGAAGAAGACUCGUGAAUUACGUAAACGACGAUCAUCGGUGCUGACAACGAGACAACCAUUAGAAGUAGAAUACGUCAGUUGUUGUUUGCGAUUCUUCGUAGGAUUUUUCGGAUCCGCAAGCACGCGGAAUCAAGCAGACAGCGUGGAGCGCUCGGCGAUCGUGUGGCCGCGCGCCGCGGACCUCUAUCUUUAUCAACCAGGCUGUGCAUUUCUCACCUACUAUAGUCGUGACAGCGCAAUCAGUGCCCAGAACGCUCUGCAUGAGAAGCGGACUUUACCAGGGGGUGUGACGGGCGACCGGCUGGCCGGGGGCGCCGCACACCUCCUCCAUCUCUUCUUCUUCUUGCCACGACCACAACACACAAUGUAACAACAACUACCACUACUAGAGUCGUCCGCGUGAACCACGUUCUCAAUGUACUCGAUGUGGUACGUCACCAUACCCCUACUCGGUGUCUCUGAAAGAUAUGCCAUCCUUAUUAAGUUUUAACGUGUUUCACUUUUUUACGUUGUCGUUGCCUCACAGUUAGUGUUCCUCAGUGUUUUUUUUUAACGAGAAACUCGGAGAACCAACAACAAAAUGAUUUGAACGCCCUCGCUGUGCGUGUACGACGCACGUGUGGCGAAGAGAGUGCGCUGCGAUCGGGAGCCGAGACACUUUGCAUUAAAUUAACUAUCGAGUAAAACGUUGUACGCGGUCGUUACGUGUCGUUACGAGAACGUUUCAUAGGUUUAUUUAUUCGGUUUGUAACUACCCUAUUCUUCCAUUCUUCCGACAACUACACGCCUCGUAUGAAAACAAAUUUUCGUUCGCGGUAUUAUUCAUUCCCCUUAAUUAAACCGCUUCGUCGAAUUUCAGUUUUCAUGCAAAUCGAGCUUUAAUUAAAUCGAACAAUUUCACGGUUGUUUAAUUAUUUUUCUAAAAGGUUAUCCUCCCUGUUCGUACAUGUUAUCCCAGCUAUUCGUUUUUCCUUUUCUUCUUUGAUCAUUUAAACAAAAGAUUGACGGAUCGUCCGUUCUGCGAUACCGCGAAUCGGGAUACGAUUCGCGAGAUAAAUUUUACACGUGGAAGCAGUGGCAUUCUUCGCGCACACGUACGUAUAACACACCAAUCAACAUAUUAUGUAUAUAUUCUAUAUUCUAUAUCUAUAUAUGAUAUAUAUAUAUAUUCGCUGAGUUCCGUUACAAUGUGACUUGUGGUUGGUUUAGUUUCGUUGGUUUAUCGGUGUUCGAUGUUGGCUGCUAUUGUUGGUUGUUAGGUGUUUAGUGGUCACUCUGUGUUGGUGCUCACCCUAUCGACUCCUUCCUUGUACCCGCAACCCCGACAACCUGCACCCCCUUUCUCCGACAACCCGAAUCCCAAACUUGAUGUUAGAAGUUACAAUGUCAAGCUUGUCUCCUGCCACGAGCAAUCUUAUUCGGCAACGGAAAGAUCCGGCAGCGUUGUUAACGGUGUACCAAAUAUACGGUAAGAUUUUUCUUUUUUUUUUUUUUUGACAAUCUGUUAUUCCAGGCAGCAUGUUAUUGUUAUUGGUAAAAAAGAGGAGGGAGAAAACUAACAAGGGGAAUUUUUAACACCGUAAAAAAAAUUCUUAUUUGUUUAAAAUCUUGCAGGUUUGUAAAGUAUUUGAAGUAAAAUGUUAGGCUAAUUUUGUUUUUUUAUUAUAAUAUAAAGUAUAUAAGUCAGUUAUAUUUCAGAAAGAAGAACACCCUCGGCUUGAAAAUUAUAACAAAUAUGAAAGGAAAAGCGACUAAUUUCUAGAGCGAUGCUUUUAAUCUGAAGAAUUCUCGGAAGAACGAGUAUAAAAAUUUAUUUGAUUUCUUACAAAUCUGCAAGUUUAUUGAUGAUGAUAAAUUAGAAUUUGUGGGAUAUCGAUGUUCCCUUGUGAGCAAGUGUCGCAUGAUGAAAAUCCCUGGUUAAUCAAGAAGAAGAACGUUUCGUUUAUGUAAAUGUUUACUAAUCAGCUAUUCUGAUAAAAUAUUCACAAAAAAAAAAUCAUUCGUUGAUUAUUUCGAUAGGAGAUCGUUCUUUAAGCUAUAUAUGGAAUAUCAAUGGAGUGUUUAAACGAUGGUAAAAAAAGCAUGUUCGUGGUCUGUGAACGUUUUUUUAGUCUCUUUUGUCAAGAUUGUGAAACUAAUUUGUGCAAUUAUAAUGCAGAAAUUUUAAUUAUAAACGAUACAGAUUUUAAUAAUAUAUCGUGAAAUCGUUUUGGAAUCAAAAACAAAAAAAAGUAUUUUUUUCUAGAUAAUUAAAUAAUACGCACUAUGUAUGGAAAAAUUAAUAUUGCGUUUAUAUUUCCUUAACAGUUUUAAGAAUUUGCUUCAAUCAAUGAACCAUCCAUUUAUUAUAUAAAAGAAUUCGUGGGAACGCGUACGAAUAUAUAGAAAAUUGAUAUAGAAACCGAAGGAAAGGCACGUUUCGCUUCGUUGUGGAAUUUAAAUAUUUUUGAAGAAUGGAUACGAAGCCCAAUGAUUUUUAUGCAGCGCGCGUAAAGGUCUCCCUUACGGAAUACCGUUUCUAGACCAGAAAGGCGUUACUGGAAAUGGCCGGUAUUUGAUUAGCGAGUGGUACGGAUCGUUUGUAUUUCAUCGGAUCAAAUCGAAAUUUAUUUUAAGAAUUUUUUCCAAUUCGAACGGAGAACGGUAUGCAAAGGAUGCAACGAGAAUAUCUUUUAAUUACGAUGAAAAAUAUUCUUAUACCCCGUUCGGGAUAACGUUAAUUAUUAACGAGUGAAAUCCAUGAAUCGAUGAGCAUGUGCAAACGGGCACAAUUUAUUCCUGCCUAUUUGCGCGAUAAAUAUUGAUACUAGAAUUUUUUUUUUUUUUUUUUCAACCGAGCUCGCUAAUUAAGUUUCGUGGGCAGCGAUAGGUUGUUAUCACGCUUUUAAUGGGUUUGGAAAACGAUCGCUGUUUACGAUCCAGCGAGGGGGGAAAAUCUGUGGUCAAAGAGCUUGAAUUCUUAAUAAGAACCGACCGAAAAAACGGAAAAUACUCUGCUCAUUUACUACGCUUUAGGUAAAACAAUUACCCGAGUGGAUAAUGAAAAAAAAAAAAAAAAAGAAUUUUUAACCCGA